GUGGGUGUAGCUCAGUUGGUAGAGCGCUGGAUUGUGGCUCCAGUGGUCGAGGGUUCAAGUCCCUUCACUCACCCCA
rnacentral:tRNA from 1 species